AACAAUAACAUGGUUUAUGUGCUCGUUCUGGGUAAAUAGAGUUUCUAGCAUUUAUGUUAGUUACUUGUUCCCCGGAUAGUUUAGUUACGUAGCCAAUUGUGGAACUUUCUUGCUAAAAUUUUUAAGAAUACUAUUUGGGUUAAACCAAUUAGUUCUUAUUAAUUAUAACGAUUAUCAAUUAACAAUCAAUUCAGAACUGGCACGGACUUGGGGAAUCCGACUGUCUAAUUAAAACAAAGCAUUGUGAUGGCCCUAGCGGGUGUUGACACAAUGUGAUUUCUGCCCAGUGCUCUGAAUGUCAAAGUGAAGAAAUUCAAGUAAGCGCGGGUCAACGGCGGGAGUAACUAUGACUCUCUUAAGGUAGCCAAAUGCCUCGUCAUCUAAUUAGUGACGCGCAUGAAUGGAUUAACGAGAUUCCUACUGUCCCUAUCUACUAUCUAGCGAAACCACAGCCAAGGGAACGGGCUUGGAAUAAUUAGCGGGGAAAGAAGACCCUUUUGAGCUUGACUCUAAUCUGGCAGUGUAAGGAGACAUAAGAGGUGUAGAAUAAGUGGGAGAUAUUAGACCUCGGUUUGGUAUCGUCAAUGAAAUACCACUACUCUUAUUGUUUCCUUACUUACUUGAUUAAAUGGAACGUGUAUCAUUUCCUAGCCAUUAUACGGAUAUAUUUAUUAUAUCUUAUGGUAUUGGGUUUUGAUGCAAGCUUCUUGAUCAAAGUAUCACGAGUUUGUUAUAUAAUCGCAAACAAAUUCUUUAAUAAAACGAUGCAUUUAUGUAUUUUUGAUUUGAAAAUUUGGUAUAACUCCAAUUACUCAGGUAUGAUCCAAUUCAAGGACAUUGCCAGGUAGGGAGUUUGACUGGGGCGGUACAUCUCUCAAAUAAUAACGGAGGUGUCCCAAGGCCAGCUCAGUGCGGACAGAAACCACACAUAGAGCAAAAGGGCAAAUGCUGACUUGAUCUCGGUGUUCAGUACACACAGGGACAGCAAAAGCUCGGCCUAUCGAUCCUUUUGGUUUAAAGAGUUUUUAACAAGAGGUGUCAGAAAAGUUACCAUAGGGAUAACUGGCUUGUGGCGGCCAAGCGUUCAUAGCGACGUCGCUUUUUGAUCCUUCGAUGUCGGCUCUUCCUAUCAUUGUGAAGCAAAAUUCACCAAGCGUUGGAUUGUUCACCCAUGCAAGGGAACGUGAGCUGGGUUUAGACCGUCGUGAGACAGGUUAGUUUUACCCUACUAAUGACAAAACGUUGUUGCGACAGCAUUCCUGCGUAGUACGAGAGGAACCGCAGGUACGGACCAAUGGCACAAUACUUGUUCGAGCGAACAGUGGUAUGACGCUACGUCCGUUGGAUUAUGCCUGAACGCCUCUAAGGUCGUAUCCGUGCUGGACUGCAAUGAUAAAUAAGGGGCAAUUUGCAUUGU
rnacentral:rRNA from 1 species